CUUGAGAGUUUGAUCCUGGCUCAGAAUGAACGCUGGCGGCGUGCUUAACACAUGCAAGUCGAACGAUGAAGCCUAGCUUGCUAGGUGGAUUAGUGGCGAACGGGUGAGUAAUACGUGAGUGACCUACCUUUGACUCUGGGAUAAGCCUGGGAAACUGGGUCUAAUACCGGAUAGGAGCGUCCACCGCAUGGUGGGUGUUGGAAAGAUUUAUCGGUUUUGGAUGGACUCGCG
rnacentral:rRNA from 1 species